ACGGAAGCGGUAACUUCAAAGUUUGUUGUUGUCUAAACAUGUCAAGCGAUUUAGCGGAUCGGUUGAUAUUUAAAGCAUGAUAGUCAGCUGCACGCUAAAGACACCUUAGUCUCAAAGUUUUGAUCCCUACGACAUGAGGUCAAAGUCAUAUCCAGUGGCAGGAUUUAUUGUACCAUUCAAAUGCUAUGAAUUAAGGAAACAGGAAAAAUUGGACCGUAACAAGAUGAGGAUACGGAAGGGACGUCUGCGCCUCAGCCCCAAUGAGGAGGCAGCUCUGAUCAAAGAGGAGACGGAGAAAAGACGUAAGCUCCGCCUACAGCAAGUUCGAGAACAGAGCAAGGAGAAUGCAGCAAAGAUCAGACAUGCAGUUAAACAGGAGAAACAUAAACAGCUGAUGAGACUGGCUACAGAUAUUAAGAACCAGCUUGAAGAAGAGAAGGCAGAAAGAGUGAGACAUUUAGAACAACAGUAUGACAACAGUCUGAGAAAUAUAGGUGUGGGUCAUAAACAGGCUGCUGAACAGCCUGAUUGGUCAGAGGAACGAGAGCUAAUUCAGCAGGCGGAGAACCUGCGUGCAGAGGCUCGGGGACGUACAGCUCUAGACAAACUAAAGAAGGAGACUGCACAUAAUAAUCAUGAAGCCCAUAAACAUAUUAUAGCCAGGAAGCAGGCAUUAGAAGUGGAGAGAUCUCGUGCAGCUCAGAUUGCAGCCAUGCCCCCACCUCCUCCAGACCCCAUCAACGACCUAGAUGUGAAAAAACCUAAGCCAGUGAAAGUAACAGAUAUGAACACAUUCUCCACGUCACACUAUCACCUACAGAAUGAACAUGCUGUAGACAGAGCUGGGCCGGAGGAGCAGACCAAUGCAAGAGAAGCUGCUGGCCUUGAAGCUGACCGGAUAAAAGAGAGAGCACUGGAGUUGAAGAGGUUACGUCAGGACCAACUAGAAAGGGCGAGGUUACGACAUAAUGCUGCUCUCGAGAAGGAAUUACUCAAACAUGAUUACAAUAAUAUUCUACAUGACCUCAGUGACCUUCAGCGGGCAGACAGAGAGAGGAGACUGAAGAUUGUUCAUAGUAUACCUAAACAAGUGUUUGAGCCGCCAAAUGUCCGCAUGGAGGAUAGGGAGGAGAAACAGCGAAACUUGGAGGAGGAAUUCGAGAACAUGUAUAUGGCGGGAACCAAUCAUCUUGGUGAUAUCAGUAUGGCCCUUGAUCCCCAGCCUCGUCCAACCACUCCCUCACAGGAGAACUCUCUUGAUGUGACUGUGGAUGGUACCCCGAUACAGGAACCAACCCUCCCAGGAAUACCUCCUGUACUGAGAGAUAUGACAAAUAUGCCAAAACCUAAAUCUCCUGGAAAGAAACCAGAGAAAGUAUUGAGGAACUUGAUGGAUCGAAUAAAAUCACAACGUGAGGAGUGGAUAACUUCUCAGUCAAUGAUGGAUGUUGGGGAAGGCCAACAACAACAGCAGCAGCAGCAGUUUGUUCAGAGUACAGACAAUACAGCUAUGAAUGGUGACCAUUUUUACCCACUUUUGCCUGAUGAAUCUCCAAUGACAGCACAACAUGAAUUAUCUCCCUCUCCAGAGAAGUUAGCAAGAGUUCACUCCCCUGUACAGGCAGCAGGAGCACCAUCUGGUGGUCCUACAUUGCCAACAGGCGGCAGGAAAUCAGCUAUGCCUCCUGUGGAGUUUUCUGAAAAAUUGAGGACAACGAAUGAGAAACAACAGACUAAUGUACAGAUCCAGUCUGAACCAGCACAGACAGCGACUAUACCCAGUGACAGACAACAGGCACAAUAUGCAGAAAUACUCAGACAACAGGAAAUUAUGCUAGAGCAGAAACGACAGCUUGAACUAAAACUACAGCAGUUAACAUAUGAACAACAGAAGAUGAAAUUGCUGCAGCAAGCACAGCAAACAGCCGAGGUACAGCCUCAAACACUGCCCUACCAAGAGAUGCAACCACUACCCAUGGCAUCUGUGCCUGGCAUUCCACCUUCAUCCCAGUAUGGUGUUUUAGCCCAGCAGGGCCAGCCUUUUGGGUCCCAACUUGUUAUUCAACCGGGACAACAGGUACCAUACCCUGGACCAGCUACACAGCAUGUUCAGUAUCCGGCACAGGUCCCUGGUCAACCUGUAGGUUUGGUUCAACAGCCAGCCCCAUCAGUACAGCAACAAUUUGUCAGCAGUCUCUCUUCAUCUGGCACAUCACAGAGACCUAUGAACUCCAUUCCACCCACCCACACAACUGGCACAGCACCCUUGAUGACUUCUCAAGGUCAAGGUUACUCUGGUUACCAAGGUCAGCAAAUUCAUUCAGCAUAUCAGCCACCGUCUGCUGUUUUGACAACAGAUCAGCUUGCUACACCAGCCUGGCAACAGCCCUAUCAACCACCUAAUAGUCAGUCUGGUUACCAUGGAAACAUGGCCAUGACCAUGCCCACCAGUAUACAAGGUCAGACUGUCUCUCCAGGUCAUAUUCCACCAGCAUCUCUGACAUCUGAUGGCAUGUCUGAACAAAUGAGAAAAGUGAAAGAAUAUCAGCAACACUUAUUGGCUAGACAUGAACAAAGCAAAAAAGUGUUGGACGAAACAAAGGCAGAAAUUAAGCGAAGACGGGAAAAUUUGUUAGAAAGAUACCCUAACCUCGACCUUUCAAGGUUGGAAGAGCUUGGAGCAAAACAUUUAGACUCCCAGCCUCGAAUGAUGUCUGCUGCAUCACAAGACCAGUCAGUGACUUCAAGAUUAGGAGGUCAAGGUCAGUCUGUGCCUGUAACCUCACUGCUGGCCUCCCUGGCUGCCCAUCCUUAUUAUGCUGCUACACUGUCUCAGCCUGGAGCCAGUAAGCCUGCAACAACGAUAAUGCCGGGUACCGUUCUUACUGCUGGAACCAACCAAGCAAGUAAUAUUCCUUCACAUCCUGAUAUCUACCUCGAGACUAACCUGAGAAAGAACAAACUUGAAAAUAUUAGAAAGUCCUUGCCUUUUGAUGCAGAUGACUCUUUCCAGACCCCAGUGAGGGUUUAUGAAGCUUAUGCUCAGAAAAAUCUUGACACUACAUCAGCUACUGAUAUCACUGAAACUGACACAUCCACUUUGACUGAGAGAGGGAGUCCGGCUUUGAAGCCUGCAUCCAGGCCACCAAUGAGACAGGAGAUUCCAGAACCAGGAACCACCACUGAUGAAUCUGAAGUAGAUACCACGGCCUCCACAAGUUUCCUAGCCGAGAAAGACGAAAUCUCGACAUUGAGACAAGAUGAAUUGAAGCUGCAACUUGCAGAAAUUCAGCGACAAAAAGAAGAGAUCAUCCGCAGGCAUCAGCAAGGACAGCAGAAGUUGCAGAGUAAAGAAGAGGAACUGAAGACCAAAUUAGCAACUCUACAACCAGAGCAAUUAGGUCAACAUCUGAAGGAAUCUCUCCAACAGAGAGUAGCUGACACACAGCAGAUGCAAAAGGACACAUACAAACAAGAUGGCCGCCAACAGCAGCUCAACCUGUCCACAAUACUUGAGGUUGACACACCUGCUAGCACCAGACCCUCUGAUGCCGGAAUGUCAGGUUCCACACACAGUGAGGCUUCCCAGCAAUCCAAGAAGUCGCUGGAUUUCUCACGAAAAGAGGCAAUACUGGAAGUACCGGAACAGUCCGGGUUUGAGGAAGUUGAAACACAGAUGCAGAGCCAGGCAAAAACAAAAGCAUUAAGAGAGACAGUGGCUGACUAUAGUGGGAAGAACAUAGAUGAUGUUUUAGAACGAGCGAAAAGGUUUGAACAAGAAGUUCUUCAGAAGUUACGGAAACAAACAAAUGCCGUCCUGUUUGAUAAUGAGUUUGACGAUUCUCUUGAAUUUAACGUGAGCAGACGGCAAGCUUCAGCAGAACCAUUGUCAAGUGGAAGUCUUACACCAAGCUCAUUUUCUACAGGUCCUCUUGAUGAGACCAGUCAAAGCAGACAGUCUAGAACAGGUGAUGGUAGUUUCCAGACUGCUUCUAACUCCUGGGCAACAGAAUUAUCUCAGUUUAAAAUUCCGCCUUCAAACCAGUCUGACCUCGCUUUCAGACUGAUGAAAUCAGAUGCCAGUAAAUCCUUUACAGAGAAAAAGCCAGUGGGGGAAGCUGCAGUGUUUAACAGUGAAAAGAACAGGUUUAAAAUAUAUUCCGAAAUUAAUGAGCCAGAGAGUGGGGCAGAUACGUCAAAGUCCGAAAGUAGUUCCCUAGAAAGUUCAAAGAUGGAGUCUGCUUUGGACAGUUUCGAACCUGAUUCAUUGAAUGCAGGGGCCAUGCUAAAACAUUUGAAAAAUCUUCAAGAACAGUUACGCAAAGGAGAGGAAGAGAGAACUAUGCUGGCAAGAAAAUUGGCAGAACAACAAAGUAAUACCACAGAACCAAGUCGGGAAGAUUUAACUGAAUAUUCUAUGGAUUCCAGUCAGAACGUGUCAAGGCCAUUUAUGCCUGAUCAAGAUACAAGUGAAAAUAAAAGUGAACUUUCACAGUACUCAUUUACUGAUAAAUCUACAGAUGUUUCCAUGGCAGCUAAUGACAAAUCAGACAAGGGCAAAAGGUCACAUGACUUUCCCAUCCAGUCAGGAACUAGUUCUGUAGAAAAAGCACUCCCUGUGAGAAGAUCGCCAAUAGGAGAUUCUGCAAAGAUGGAGUCUCAUUCUGGAUUGACCAAUGGGAGAGAACCACAAGAUGUUACAACCACUGAAUAUUCAUUUGCACUUUCAGACAGCAGGCAACAAAGGUCAACUUCAACCCCAGGUGAGGAUAGAAGAAAGUCGGCCCUAGAUGGAACACAUCGGUCUGAGCUUCCCUCGGAGAUAACAGUCGGAGAUAAAACAACAGGAAAACCUGAUGAUACUGUCAAUUCAGCAAGUUCAAAAUUCAAAUCACCAGGUCAGAGUGAGGAACUUUCCUCUUAUUCUAUGCCAUAUGAUAGUUACUCUGGCAGAAGUGAAGACUUCCACACUAUGUCUCCUGAACGUAAUGGCAAAAGCCCAACUGAAGAUAUUACAAGGCACUCUGGGAUGACAGCAGAGGAAUCUUUGGAGAGUAUAAAGAAAGAGUUUGAAAAAUUGGAAAAACCAGUCAGUAAAAUUAAAACAUUUGCUGUGAAUAGAGAUGGUGAUUUAAUCUCAGAACAUUCCGAUUCGGACAAAUCUUUACGUAACAGUGCAAACAUAGGACAGGAAUUAUCCCAGUAUACAGUUUCUUCUCAAGGAAGUGCUCAGGAUAAAUACCAAUCUAAACUGCAGAGCUUUUCAGGUUUAAGUAGUUAUACUGUACCUGAAUCGACAGCUGAAAGUCGCCUUUCGGAAUAUUCCAAUAAAAGUUCAUUUGGUAGUGGUUCAGUUAGCUCAAACCCUAAGUCAUCAUCCUUCACGAACGUUACCUCAGAGAUGUCUUUAAAUGUAACAGGUGCCACAAAUCUUAGCCAGUACACACUGAAUGACACUGAACCAGCGGGAGAAAAUUUUAAUGAGAAUAAUAAUUAUGUUCAGCAGAGGUUUGCAAGUCUUGAUAAUUUAAUUAGUGAAUCGAAAAACAUCAUAGCUAAGCAUAAACAGAUUAUUGGUAAAAAUAAGACUACAGACGAAGCAGUGCCAAAUAUGACUUCAGCAGUGAAGAGUUCAGGGAAGCAGACGACUGAUGACAGAGAGUCUCAGUUGCCAAAGUCAAAUUUCUUGAGAAGCAGACUGCCUGACAGUACUACAGGGAAGAAAACAGAAGAUUCCAGUCUGUCUUUGGAGCAAACCAGUCUAUCUCAGGAGGAAACCAGUGUAACAAAGGAUGAAACCAGUCUAAUGAAGGAUAAAUCAGGAAACCAGUCCUCCACUGUUGAUGAAAGCAGUCUGGAUUAUCUGGCUGAACAUAGUUCUGGGAUCACGGAGGAGCCACUACCAGACCUGACUACCAUGACUCUUGGAUCAGAGAUUUCGAUAUCUGAAGCAUUCAACAAAACAGAGGAACUCUCGGAGAGCACUGACUCACUGCAGUCUUUCGAGAAGCAUGAAAUGUCUGAGUCAGAAUCUGCUUCAGUAUCACAGAACUUUGAGGAUGACAGUCUGAGAGACACAGGCAAAUCAGACAGCCUACUUGAGAUCGUUGAAGCACGUAAACACAAUUUCAUGGUCCAGACUGAGCGGAGGGCAGCUGCCGCUAAAGAAAGGGCGUUAGCUGCCCAGCGUACAGAAGACAAGCACCAAGUCUUCAGGGCCGUUCCUGUGAAUGUUGUAGCAGCUCCAACAUUGUCAAUGUCAGUCAAUACUUCUGGAGCAGAGAAAGGCAAGUCACCUAGUUUGUUUCAGACAAAGAGCGCUAACUCAUUAACUACUGAAAAGAAAUCUUUUGAACUGAAAGAGAAAGAAGUAAAGGAAGUCACCUCCUCUAAAGCUUUAAACAGAGCCUUACAACCUAGAGGAUCAGAUAGUCCAAGGACUUCAGACCUCGGAGCAAAGUCACAUGACAGUGGAGCUAAGCCAAGGGAAACCAGUCUAUUUAGUAGAUUUGGUUCACAGUCUUCUUCAGGAGAAGAGUCUAAAUCUCCAAGAGGAAGACUAGCUGGAGAGAUUCGCCAGUUUGGGGGCUCUGCAGGAUUAUUUCAGAAACCUUCACCCCCUGCUCAAAAGAAGACUCCUCCAAAAGUUGCACCUAAACCUGUACGCCCUAAACCAGAAGAGCGACAGCCUGCGAAACCAGUAAGCGGGUUAUCCAAGACAUUGUCAUCAUGGAAGAAAAGCAGAGCUGUAACUGAUCCAUCAAAAGUACCUGAACCAGCACAGCAGAGAGAUGCACCAAAGAAUUCUAUUAAAGUGUUGCCUGAAGAUGCUCCUCCUGCAUUGACAGAGGAAGAGAGAAGGAAACGGGCCGAGGAUGAGCUUUACGAGAAAAAUAUUAGGGCUUACAAUCCCCGAUUGUUUAGGUUACAACACAAGCUGGAUAGGGAAGAUUCGUCACCCCAAACUUCACCACAACAACAAGAGAGACAAAGGGAUGUAAAAAAGAAUAGUCUAUCCUGGAGUAGUCUACCUUCCAUAUCUGAGGAGUCAGAAAAUGAAUAAAGUCUGUAAAUACAUUGUGACCUUGAGGUGUGACCUUGAGUGUUGCUAGGCAACUUAGUGAACUGCACUCAUCACAUGAAUGAAGUAGAAUGAAAUGCAUUAAAGGAAUCAGAAGACAACUUACGGAAGAAUAAGAAGUGAGAAACCUGGCAGCAGAAGAAACAAACCCACAAUGUCUUGAAUAGUGAAAUGAUGAAAUAGUGAAUGAAGACAAAAUGUGACAUGCAUUACUUGAUCAUUGUUGUUAAAAGCUACACUCAGUAGUUUUUUUAAUGUGACAGUCAUGAGAAACUGUGAUGAUUUUACUUGAUUAAAUAUGACAGUCAUGAGAAACUGUGUUGUUUAGUGAUUAAAUAUGACACUCGUGAGAAACUGUGUUGCUUAUUUAGUGAUUAAAAGUUGUACUCGCCACUGACUGUGAUGCCAAUUUUUAGUGAUUGAAUGCGACUCUAAUGAGAACCUUUGAUGCUUAUUUAGUGAUUAGGUGAUACUUGUGUAGUGAUGCUGUUUUGUUAAGUGUGGCACAAAUGAUGUGACGAAAUGUGACACUUCCAGAGAAGUUGCAACUGACUUAUAAAUGAGACUAGGUUCAAGGCUACAUGAAAGUAGAUAUAGAACUGAUAUAUAUUACUGGAGGGCUACCUGAAAUUUAUAGGAAGCAGGUAGUACUGGACCUGUGCUUUGUAUUGCAAACUUUAACAAAUGUACUUGUUUGAAGAUUUAUAUUAGUUGCUAAAAUAUAUUUAACCCGAAAAACAUUUUUUUUCUUCUAAAAUUUAUGUUAUACUUACUACUAUCUUAAUAGCAAUUUUAAUUUACCUUUUACAGUUUUGAACUAAAAUAGAAAUACCAUUUAAACUGAUUUUGUUCAACUUAAUUUAAUAUUGUGUUAUGAAGUGUUACAGAGCAAAUGAUGUUGUUAUAUAAUAUCUUGAAACAUUGUUGCAGUACUGGGUUGGGGUUGUAGUUAUUUUCUUUGAGGGUGUGCUAGGUUUCUGUCUUUUAUAUUUUGUAGUUUGUUCAGCAUUUGAUAUACAUAAUAAGAGAUACACCUUUAAAUGGUAUGAACUCGGUGUCCAGAUACUUUGCUUUUGGUAAACUUACAAUCAUACUCUGUAUAGAGAUAGUGUUUGGAGCCGUUAGCCAUUGCAUAAGUAUAAAUAUAUUCUUUCAGCCUUUGUUAUUUCUCAGAAUGUGUAACUUAGCAUGCAUAUAUAUGCCAUUUUCUUUUAACAUCAUUAUAUAUAGUUGUACAUUUUGUGUAUAUUAUUUAUUCUAGAGUUAAGUGUCCUUUAUUGUGACUAAGUCUUUGUACCAGUACUUGUUCAAUGAUCUGUUAUUGAAUUAUUCCAAUUUCGUGUAUGUGUAAUUUAUUACAAUUGUAUUUUAUUUUAAAGUAGCACAUUCCGUCCAGUUUAGGUAUUGUAAAUGUAUAAAUUUACUCUUUAUGUUUGAUUCCUGAGUGGAAAAUAGGGAGAGAAAAUAAGAGAAAACCUAUUUUAGCAAAUCAUGCGAACUUUUUUUACUGUUGCCCACAUGCAAAUGUGUGAAAAUUUUAGCCAGAAACAACAUUUAGCCAAAUAUCUUUGGUAUUGUCUAGGCUGUUAUCUAUUUAGUUUUGUGGCAAAUCCUGACAUAGUUGCUUAGAAUAUUUGAGAUAUAAAAAUACAUUGCAGGAAGGGAAGCAUGUUUUGUUAUUAUAAUUGUUUUUGUUUUUUCACAGCUAUAUAACUUUUUCUCCCACUUCCCAGAAGCAAGAUCUGACUUUAAUAAAAGUUACAAAAAAAGUUUGGAAACCAGUCAUAUAUUGCAGCCUUGUGAUUGAUUAAUCCCAAGAUUAAGCUCUUGAUAAACCAAUCAGAUGCUGUAGUACUUAGACUGGUUGCAAAAGAAUUUUAUAACAUUGAACAGAUACUUGUCUUGUCUUCAGAAAGGAGGUCAUGACUUUGUGUUUAUUCAAUAUAUUCCUUCGGGUUUUGCCAGUUGAUUAGUGUAAAGUAGAAUGGUGAGAGAUACAUACUGUACAGUCUUAUUUUUGUAUUAAAAUCCAUAAAUUUA